GACGAACGCUGGCGGCGUGCUUAACACAUGCAAGUCGAACGAUGAACCUGGAGCUUGCUCCGGUGGAUUAGUGGCGAACGGGUGAGUAACACGUGAGUAACCUGCCCUUGACUCUGGGAUAACUGCGGGAAACUGUAGCUAAUACCGGAUACGACCCUCGGCGGCAUCGCCAGGGGGUGGAAAGAAUUUCGGUCAAGGAUGGACUCGCGGCCUAUCAGCUAGUUGGUGAGGUAACGGCUCACCAAGGCGACGACGGGUAGCCGGCCUGAGAGUGUGACCGGCCACACUGGGACUGAGACACGGACCAGACUCCUACGGGAGGCAGCAGUGGGGAAUAUUGCACAAUGGGCGCAAGCCUGAUGCAGCAACGCCGCGUGAGGGAUGACGGCCUUCGGGUUGUAAACCUCUUUUAGUAGGGAAGAAGCGAAAGUGACGGUACCUGCAGAAAAAGCACCGGCUAACUACGUGCCAGCCGCCGCGGUAA
rnacentral:rRNA from 1 species